AAGUCGUAACAAGGUUUCCGUAGGUGAACCUGCGGAAGGAUCAUUAACAAAUUUCCAACACCCGUGUUCUUCAGUGGGUUAGAGUCCUCCGGGUCUCUACUUACUGAGGUUAUCACUCUAUACAUUUACUUUUAAACAACAACUAUAACCAAAAGAUAUCAAUGUGAAAAACAACUUUUAACAAUGGAUCUCUUGGCUCUU
rnacentral:misc_RNA from 1 species